AGAGUUUGAUCAUGGCUCAGAACGAACGCUGGCGGCAGGCCUCAAACAUGCAAGUCUAGGGGGUAGCAAUACCACUGGCGGACGGGUGCGUAACACGUGGGAAUAUACCUUUUGGUUCGGAACAACGCAGGGAAACUUGCGCUAAUACCGAAUGUGCCCUUACGGGGAAAGAUUUAUCGCCAAAGGAUUAGCCCGCGUCCGAUUAGCUAGUUGGUGAGGUAAUGGCUCACCAAGGCUCCGAUCGGUAGCUGUUCUGAGAGGAAGAUCAGCCACACUGGGACUGAGACACGGCCCAGACUCCUACGGGAGGCAGCAGUUGGGAAUCUUGGACAAUGGGGGAAACCCUGAUCCAGCCAUGCCGCGUGAGUGAUGAAGGCCUUCGGGUUGUAAAACUCUUUCGACGGGGACGAUAAUGACGGUACCCGUAGAAGAAGCUCCGGCUAACUUCGUGCCAGCAGCCGCGGUAAUACGAAGGGGGCUAGCGUUGUUCGGAAUUACUGGGCGUAAAGCGCGCGCAGGCGGUCUUCCAAGUCAGUGGUGAAAGCCCGGAGCUCAACUCCGGAACUGCCAUUGAAACUGUAAGACUUGAGGAUGAGAGAGGUGAGUGGAAUUCCCAGUGUAGAGGUGAAAUUCGUAGAUAUUGGGAAGAACACCGGUGGCGAAGGCGGCUCACUGGCUCAUAUCUGACGCUCAGGCGCGACAGCGUGGGGAUCAAACAGGAUUAGAUACCCUAGUAGUCC
rnacentral:rRNA from 1 species